AGGGGUAUAGCUCAGUUGGUAGAGUGGCGGUCUCCAAAACCGUAGGUCGUGGGUUCGAGUCCCUCUGCCCCUGCCA
rnacentral:tRNA from 1 species